GAUGAACGCUGGCGGCGUGCCUAAUACAUGCAAGUCGAGCGAACGGACGAGAAGCUUGCUUCUCUGAUGUUAGCGGCGGACGGGUGAGUAACACGUGGAUAACCUACCUAUAAGACUGGGAUAACUUCGGGAAACCGUAGCUAAUACCGGAUAAUAUUUUGAACCGCAUGGUUCAAAAGUGAAAGACGGUCUUGCUGUCACUUAUAGAUGGAUCCGCGCUGCAUUAGCUAGUUGGUAAGGUAACGGCUUACCAAGGCAACGAUGCAUAGCCGACCUGAGAGGGUGAUCGGCCACACGGGAACUGAGACACGGUCCAGACUCCUACGGGAGGCAGCAGUAGGGAAUCUUCCGCAAUGGGCGAAAGCAUGACGGAGCAACGCCGCGUGAGUGAUGAAGGUCUUCGGAUCGUAAAACUCUGUUAUUAGGGAAGAACAUAUGUGUAAGUAACUGUGCACAGCUUGACGGUGCCUAAUCAGAAAGCCACGGCUAACUACGUG
rnacentral:rRNA from 1 species